rnacentral:rRNA from 1 species
CGGAGGGUGCAAGCGUUAUCCGGAUUCACUGGGUUUAAAGGGUGCGUAGGUGGGCUAGUAAGUCCGUGGUGAAAUCUCGGAGCUUAACUCGGAAACUGCCGUGGAUACUAUUAGUCUUGAAUCUCGUGGAGGUAAGCGGAAUAUGUCAUGUAGCGGUGAAAUGCUUAGAUAUGACAUAGAACACCGAUAGCGAAGGCAGCUUGCUACACGAGUAUUGACACUGAGGCACGAAAGCGUGGGGAUCAAACAGGAUUAGAUACCCUGGUAGUCCACGCCCUAAACGAUGGAUACUCGACAUACGCGAUACACAGUGUGUGUCUGAGCGAAAGCAUUAAGUAUCCCACCUGGGAAGUACGACCGCAAGGUUG